AACGAACGCUGGCGGCAGGCUUAACACAUGCAAGUCGAACGCCCCGCAAGGGGAGUGGCAGACGGGUGAGUAACGCGUGGGAACAUACCCUUUUCUACGGAAUAGCUCUGGGAAACUGGAAUUAAUACCGUAUACGCCCUACGGGGGAAAGAUUUAUCGGGGAAGGAUUGGCCCGCGUUGGAUUAGCUAGUUGGUGGGGUAAAGGCCUACCAAGGCGACGAUCCAUAGCUGGUCUGAGAGGAUGAUCAGCCACAUUGGGACUGAGACACGGCCCAAACUCCUACGGGAGGCAGCUGUGGGGAAUAUUGGACAAUGGGCGCAAGCCUGAUCCAGCCAUGCCGCGUGAGUGAUGAAGGCCUUAGGGUUGUAAAGCUCUUUCACCGAUGAAGAUAAUGACGGUAGUCGGAGAAGAAGCCCCGGCUAACUUCGUG
rnacentral:rRNA from 1 species